GGAUCAUUAUUAGAAGCCGAAAGGCUACUUAAAACCAUCGCGAACUCGUCCAAGUUGCUUCGGCGGCGCGGCCUCCCUCACGGGGGCGCCGCAGCCCCGCCUCUCCGGAGGUGUGGGGCGCCCGCCGGAGGUACGAAACUCUGUAUUAUAGUGGCAUCUCUGAGUAAAAAACAAAUAAGUUAAAACUUUCAACAACGGAUCUCUUGGUUCUGGCAUCGAUGAAGAACGCAGCGAAAUGCGAUAAGUAAUGUGAAUUGCAGAAUUCAGUGAAUCAUCGAAUCUUUGAACGCACAUUGCGCCCGCUAGUACUCUAGCGGGCAUGCCUGUUCGAGCGUCAUUUCAACCCUCAAGCCCUGCUUGGUGUUGGGGCCCUACGGCUGCCGUAGGCCCUGAAAGGAAGUGGCGGGCUCGCUACAACUCCGAGCGUAGUAAUUCAUUAUCUCGCUAGGGACGUUGCGGCGCGCUCCUGCCGUUAAAGACCAUCUUUAACUCAAGGUUGACCUCGGAUCAG
rnacentral:misc_RNA from 1 species